CCCCCCCCCAACUACUUUUUGUAUUUUUUUGUAGAGAUGGGUUUCACCAUGUUUCCCAGCCUUGUCUCAAACUCCUGACCUCAAGUGAUCCGCCGUCUUGGGUCUUCGAAAGUGCUGGGACAGCAGGAGUGAGCCACCGCAUCUGGCCCGGAAAGUGUUUUGGAGCGUAGAAAAAUGCAAAUUAUAGGGCUGCCUUCAAGGAUCCCGAAGGACCCACAGAUUUGCCGCAUCAGGCUCCUAUGCACGCCGAAAUGCCCAGGAGGAUUGACGAGAUUGAGGUCAAGAUCGUGGCCCAGUGUGUGGCGC
rnacentral:lncRNA from 1 species